AAGUCGUAACAAGGUUUCCGUAGGUGAACCUGCGGAAGGAUCAUUAAAGAAUUCGGCUUCGCGGCCAAGUUCUCACCCUUUGUAUACCAGAAAUCUAUUGGUUUGGCUUUUGGGCCCAUGGGCCCCCGUUGCCAUUUCUGCGGGCCUGCCAGAGGUUAUAAACCCCUAGAAUCUCUGCUGUCUGAGUCACUAUGCAAUAGUUAAAA
rnacentral:misc_RNA from 1 species